rnacentral:rRNA from 1 species
AGAACGAACGCUGGCGGCAUGCCUAACACAUGCAAGUCGAACGCUUUUGGGGCUUCGGUCCCAAAGGAGUGGCGCACGGGUGAGUAGCGCGUGGGAACCUGCCCUGGAGUGGGGGAUAACCGAGGGAAACUUCGGCUAAUACCGCAUACGCCGGGAAACCGGGAAAGAUUUAUCGCUCUAGGAGGGGCCCGCGUCGGAUUAGGUAGUUGGUGGGGUAACGGCCUACCAAGCCUGUGAUCCGUAGCUGGUCUGAGAGGAUGAUCAGCCACACUGGGACUGAGACACGGCCCAGACUCCUACGGGAGGCAGCAGUGGGGAAUAUUGGACAAUGGGCGCAAGCCUGAUCCAGCAAUGCCGCGUGAGUGAUGAAGGCCUUCGGGUUGUAAAGCCCUUUCGGCGGGGAAGAUGAUGACGGUACCCGCAGAAGAGCCCCGGCUAACUCGUGCCAGCAGCCGC